UGGGGAAUAUUGCACAAUGGGCGAAAGCCUGAUGCAGCAACGCCGCGUGAGUGAUGAAGGCCUUCGGGUUGUAAAGCUCUGUCGUUUGGGACGAUAAUGACGGUACCAAAGGAGGAAGCCACGGCUACCUACGUGCCAGCAGCCGCGGUAAUACGUAGGUGGCAAGCGUGGUCCGGAAUUACGGGGCGUAAAGAAUGCGUAGGUGGAUAUGCAAGUCAGAUGUGAAAUACCCGGGCUCAACUUGGGUGCUGCAUUUGAAACUAUAUAUCUAGAGUGCAGGAGAGGAAAGCGGAAUUCCUAGUGUAGCGGUGAAAUGCGUAGAGAUUAGGAAGAACACCAGUGGCGAAGGCGGCUUUCUGAACUGUAACUGACACUGAGGCAUGAAAGCGUGGGGAGCAAACA
rnacentral:rRNA from 1 species